ensembl:lncRNA
AGAACACCUCGCUUUUCAGACCGAUAAGCUUUGUAAAAAACAACGCAUUUCAGAAAGGCGGGACAGCGGAGAAACAAUAAUGUACAAUAUGUGGAAAAUAAUGUGUUUUUUGAACCUUAAACUGCAUAAACACAUUUCAUUACAUCAAAUACACAAAAUAAUGUUAUUUUUAGCAACAUCAUAUGACCCCUUUAAGGGGAUAAUUUAAGGCAGCUAUAUACUGUUGUCAGCAUAUGCUGGAGUAGUUUCAUCUCUGGUUGUCUCAGAGAAUAUGUGUUGACACACACACAUACUAAUAGCAGGCCCAGACAAUAGGAUGACAGAGUGAAGGAACACAGGACCUAAAAUUUCCACUCUUUUAUUAGCCCCGGGUCCAAUGGACCCGAACAUCCCUGAGCACCAUACAAGGGUUAAAUGUGCUUCUAUUGACGACAGAACUGAUGGUGUUUCACGUUAAUACUGCCAAAUAAAACUGACAUUUUUGCAGCCCAUAUAACUUCUGUAGUCCACUUCAGAGCUUUGGUGAAGGUGUAGAUUCUCAGUAAAUAACCUACAUUUUGGUCUACUAAUCACACAAAGCUCAGUAGGCUUGGCAUUUAAUUCAUGGAUCAUAUGGACUACAUUUAUGGUGUUUUUGUGGUGUUUUAUUGUCCUUUUAAGGUCCUCAACAGUCAACAUGUUAAAAUAUCAGUUUUAGCAAUGUGUGAAACAAUAACACCUGGGCCUAGAAGAACUAUUUUACAUUUUUGAUGUAAUAUUUGUGCAAUCUGUUACAGUAUGUUCUAAUACAAAGAAAUUAUAUUAACGCCAUGCAUGCAAACACUGUAAUUUGGGAAAGGAAAAAUCUGCAAACAAAGGUCUUGAAAGACAUGCCAAUGAACUGUGGUAGUGGUAAUCAGCAGAUUAAAUAGCAGUGAAAUGAAUACUUGAGGCCAGACUCUGAACCUGGGUAGCAAUUUAUUUUUAGCCAAACUGAUAACACAUUUCUCUCUGUCUGCCCAGUCCUGCCAAAAAAGCAGGUGUGGUUACAGGUGCAACAUCUCUCUCUCUUACUCAUUAUCUGUACACACAGUCAAUCUAGGCCUUGCUCUCUCUGUCUCUCACUGUUUCUCUCUCUGCUUUCUCUUGUUUUGCUCAUUUGUGUGUAAUCCAUACCUGGAUGAGCGCCAGCCGUGUCUGCAAGCACCUGCGUCAGCCGGCCGUGCAAAACAACACACUCCACACUCUCCUCCACAGUCAACAGCCUCUCUGAGUAAAGCUGAAUCCUACUCACAUGCAGCCCCAAUAAAAUGCCACAUGCCACCAGAUCCAGUCUGUAUCCAAGUCAGAGGGUCACUGCAGUCACCCGGAUCCAGUAUGUAUCCAGCCCAGAUGGUGGAUCAGCACCUAGAAAGGACCUCUGUAGCCGUGAAAGACAGCAGAGACCAGGACUAGAGCCCCAGAGAUAGAUCCCCUGUAAAGACCUUGUAUCAGACGACCACCGGGACAAGACCAUAGGAAACAGAUGAUUCUUCUGCACAAUCUGAUUUUGCUGCAGCCUGGAAUUGAACUGCUGGUUUCGUCUGGUCAGAGGAGAACUGGCCCCCUGACUGAGCCUGGUUUCUCCCAAGGUUUUUUCUCCAUUCUGUCACCGAUGGAGUUUUGGUUCCUUGCCGCUGUCGCCUCUGGCUUGUUUAGUUGGGGACACUUCAUUUACAGCGAUAUCAGCGAUGACUUGAUUGCAAAUGAUUGCACAGAUACUAUUUAAACUGAACUGAGCUGGAUGAUGACAUCACUGAAUUCAAUGAUGAACUGCUUUAACUGUCAUUUUGCGUUAUUGACACACUGUUUUCCUAAUUAAUGUUGUUAAGUUGCUUUGACACAAUCUUUUUUGUUUAAAGCGCUA